AACGAACGCUGGCGGCAUGCCUAACACAUGCAAGUCGAACGAGACCUUCGGGUCUAGUGGCGCACGGGUGCGUAACGCGUGGGGACCUGCCCUUAGGUUCGGAAUAACUCCCCGGAAGGGGUGCUAAUACCGGAUAAUGUCUUCGGACCAAAGAUUUAUCGCCUUUGGAUGGGCCCGCGUUGGAUUAGCUAGUUGGUAGGGUAAAAGCCUACCAAGGCGACGAUCCAUAGCUGGUCUGAGAGGAUGAUCAGCCACACUGGGACUGAGACACGGCCCAGACUCCUACGGGAGGCAGCAGUGGGGAAUAUUGGACAAUGGGCGAAAGCCUGAUCCAGCAAUGCCGCGUGAGUGAUGAAGGCCUUAGGGUUGUAAAGCUCUUUUACCCGGGAUGAUAAUGACAGUACCGGGAGAAUAAGCUCCGGCUAACUCCGUG
rnacentral:rRNA from 1 species